UACGGGAGGCAGCAGUGGGGAAUAUUGCACAAUGGGCGAAAGCCUGAUGCAGCUAUGCCGCGUGUAUGAAGAAGGCCUUAGGGUUGUAAAGUACUUUCAUCGGGGAGGAAAAAACAAAACUAAUAAUUUUAUUUCUUGACGUUACCCGAAAAAGAAGCACCGGCUAACUCCGUGCCAGCAGCCGCGGUAAUACGGAGGGUGCUAGCGUUAAUCAGAAUUACUGGGCGUAAAGAGCACGUAGGUGGUUUUUUUAAAGUCAGAUGUGAAAUCCCUGGGCUUAACCUAGGAACUGCAUUUUGAAACUGAAAUACUAGAGUAUCGUAGAGGGAGGUAGAAUUCUAGGUGUAGCGGUGAAAUGCGUAGAUAUCUGGAGGAAUACCUGUGGCGAAAGCGGCCUCCUAAACGAAUACUGACACUGAGGUGCGAAAGCGUGGGGAGCAAAC
rnacentral:rRNA from 1 species